AUGGAAAUAAGGGGCUGGGUUGUCGCCGCGCGCUGUUCCUGCAGGUUGUCGCUGCGGGGGCCGGCUGCACCCUCCUCCCGCUCGCGGAGGAUGACGAGGGCGAGGACGCGGAGGCCGACAAGGGGGGAGGCGGUGGAGGGGUGCGCCCGGUGGCCAUCCGGUGUGGGCGGCCUCCCACUACGACCUCACGCGCCGGGCGCGCGCGCUGGCACAGCCCUGGGUCACCCGCUGCGUCCACGCCGAGACGCCCUCCAUCCUCACCUUCUAGCGGGGCGCAACGAGACGAUGCUCGACCUGGCCAAGUUCGUCAACAAGGGCGUCCAGGUCAAGCUCACCGGCGGCGAGCAAGGCACGCCCCGAUGCUCCCUCCCCUCGCUCUGGGCACCCGAUGCCAGGCAGGCUGUGGAUGCCCCGAACCUCAAGGCUGGCCGUGCUACUCCAGCUGCUCCUGCCUCGGUCGUGCUCAACUUUGCUCCUGGUCAGUUGCCGCAGGCUGUUGUUGCUGUGACGGAAGAUCAGAAGAGGCAUGGAGAUGCGCAACACAGUUUUAGUUGA
rnacentral:rRNA from 1 species